UCCCUAGUGGUCCAGUGGGUAAGACUCUGCAUUCACAAUGCAGGGGGCCCGCGCCCAGGUUUGAUCCCUGGUUGGGGAA